UGACGGGACCCGCACAAGCAGCGGAGCAUGUGGUUUAAUUCGAAGCAACGCGAAGAACCUUACCAGAUCUUGACAUCCAAUUGACCAUCUUUUAAUCGAGAUUUUGCCUUCGGGUACAAUUGAGACAGGUGGUGCAUGGUUGUCGUCAGCUCGUGUCGUGAGAUGUUGGGUUAAGUCCCGCAACGAGCGCAACCCUUGUGUUUUAGUUGCAAACAGGUCAAGCUGUGCACUCUAGACAGACUGCCGUGGACAACACGGAGGAAGGUCGGGGAUGACGUCAAAUCAUCAUGCCCCUUAUGAUCUGGGCUACACACGUGCUACAAUGGCCGGUACAACGGGCAGCGAAGGAGCGAUCCGGAGCGAAUCCUAAAAAGCCGGUCCCAGUUCGGAUUGCAGGCUGAAACUCGCCUACAUGAAGUUGGAGUUGCUAGUAAUCGCGAAUCAGAAUGUCGCGGUGAAUGCGUUCCCGGGUCUU
rnacentral:rRNA from 1 species